rnacentral:rRNA from 1 species
CAGUAGCCGCGGGGAUACGGAGGAUCCAAGCGUUAUCCGGAAUCAUUGGGUUUAAAGGGUCCGUAGGCGGUCUUGUAAGUCAGUGGUGAAAGCCCAUCGCUCAACGGUGGAACGGCCAUUGAUACUGCAGGACUUGAAUUAUUGGGAAGUAACUAGAAUAUGUAGUGUAGCGGUGAAAUGCUUAGAGAUUACAUGGAAUACCAAUUGCGAAGGCAGGUUACUACCAAUUGAUUGACGCUGAUGGACGAAAGCGUGGGUAGCGAACAGGAUUAGAUACCCCCGUAGUCCCUGUCUCUUAUAC